rnacentral:rRNA from 1 species
CAGUCGCCACGGUAAUACGUAGGUGGCAAGCGUUGUCCGGAAUUAUUGGGUGUAAAGGGCUCGCAGGCGGUUUCUUAAGUCUGAUGUGAAAGCCCCCGGCUCAACCGGGGAGGGUCAUUGGAAACUGGGAAACUUGAGUGCAGAAGAGGAGAGUGGAAUUCCACGUGUAGCGGUGAAAUGCGUAGAGAUGUGGAGGAACACCAGUGGCGAAGGCGACUCUCUGGUCUGUAACUGACGCUGAGGAGCGAAAGCGUGGGGAGCGAACAGGAUUAGAUACCCCGGUAGUCCCUGUCUCUUAUAC